rnacentral:rRNA from 1 species
CAGCCGCCGCGGGAAUACGGAGGGUGCAAGCGUUAUUCGGAAUUGCUGGGCGUAAAGCGCACGCAGGCGGUUGCCCAAGUCAGAUGUGAAAGCCCCGGGCUUAACCUGGGAACUGCAUUUGAAACUGGGCGACUAGAGUAUGAAAGAGGAAAGCGGAAUUUCCAGUGUAGCAGUGAAAUGCGUAGAUAUUGGAAGGAACACCGAUGGCGAAGGCAGCUUUCUGGGUCGAUACUGACGCUCAUGUGCGAAAGCGUGGGGAGCAAACAGGAUUAGAUACCCGGGUAGUCCCUGUCUCUUAUAC